UACAGAGGUCCCAAGCGUUGUUCGGAUUCACUGGGCGUAAAGGGUGCGUAGGCGGUUGGGUAAGUCUGAUGUGAAAUCUCACAGCUUAACUGUGAAACUGCAUUGGAUACUAUCCAACUCGAGGAAUGGAGGGGAGACUGGAAUACUUGGUGUAGCAGUGAAAUGCGUAGAUAUCAAGAGGAACACCUGAGGUGAAGACGGGUUGCUGGGCCGACACUGACGCUGAGUGCGCGAAAGCCAGGGGAGCAAACGGG
rnacentral:rRNA from 1 species